CGGCGCCUCCGUGUGGUGCGAGGGGGAACCACAGCCUAAUAACAAACCAAAAUGUGCCUUGAGUGUAUUUCUGCAACAUGAAGAAGGAGGAGAAGAAGCAUUUAUGCCCCCCUGUUAAACCCCCGACUGACUGGAAGAGUGUGUGUUUCCAGGAAGAGUCGGAGGCGUGCGUCACUGUUUGACCCGCGGGCAGAGCAAAGAAAAGCCAAACCGUCCUGCAGAGUGACUGAUGGGCGCUGGACAGUUUACUAAGUCAACCCAUGAACCUGUGAGAGGAAUCCUUCAUUCAUCUGGAUAGAAAGAUGGAUCAGUACCAGCCUCCUUCUUCACCACAACGCCUCCCAGCCCAUUAUACUUUAACACUGAGCACUGAGCACACCCUCUGAUCCGGAGAAACCUCGCUGGAUGUAACAGACAUAUGUGUCCUCGGAGAAAUUCUGUGAGAGGAGAGAAGUGCUACAGGAGCAAGAAAGUGCAGGAAGUAAUGCCAAAAUAUUGUUAAAUGUUUGAUCAGACUCCAGCAUAAAGCUCGGUGGUCUCUGUGUUAUUCAUGACUAUGCAGAAACCUCAUUUGAAAAUAAAAUACUGCUUCUCUCUGCGA